GUCGGCCCGCCCUCCCUGGGGACGCGGAGCGUGUUUGUGUUUGUGUUCGUGUCCGACACCACGCCCCUCCCACGUCCGCCUGGAAGGGCCCCCACACCUACCCCACCCCCGACUGCCACCACCUGGAGCAAAACUGAUCGCUGUCCCCUUUUCGUCCCUCAGCACCCGCAACCUCCGGUUCUUGUGCACGCACUUCCAGGGACUGGCAGCACGUCACCAUCACCUCCUGAGAAGAGCACUCCAAUUCUAUCAUAGAUUGGGUAUGGAAGAAGAUAAACCCCAUCUUGGAGAAAUCAGGGUGAAUUGAUUAUUGUACUGAGUACAACAAACAGAUGAAGAAGCAGAGAAACACAGCUCAUCUUCAAAGCCUGGUCCUCAAACUUCUUGGUGAAUAGAAAUUAAAC
ensembl:lncRNA